rnacentral:rRNA from 1 species
GAUGAACGCUGGCGGCGUGCCUAAUACAUGCAAGUCGAGCGAACAGACGAGGAGCUUGCUCCUCUGACGUUAGCGGCGGACGGGAGAGUAACACGUGGAUAACCUACCUAUAAGACUGGGAUAAUUUCGGGAAACCGGAGCUAAUACCGGAUAAUAUAUUGAACUGCAUGGUUCACUAGUGAAAGUCGGUUUUGCUGUCACUUAUAGAUGGAUCCGCGCCGCAUUAGCUAGUUGGUAAGGUAACGGCUUACCAAGGCAACGAUGCGUAGCCGACCUGAGAGGGUGAUCGGCCACACGGGAACUGAGACACGGUCCAGACACCUACGGGAGGCAGCAGUAGGGAAUCUUCCGGGAUGGGCGAGAGCCUGACGGAGCAACGCCGCGUAAGUGAUGAAGGUCUUCGGAUCGGAAAACUCUGUUAUUAGGGAAGAACAAAUGUGUUAGUAACUAUGCACGUCUUGACGGUACCUGAUCAGAAAGCCACGGCUAACUACGUG